CAGCCACGACAACUGUUUUGAGCCAAGAUCCAAUCAUAGUGCGAGUCAAAACAAGCUUGGACUACUCGAUACUUCUAGCGUAUGGAUUGCAAGGCUCAUUUUUAGAUAUCGUUGUUAAUUUCUUGUUACCCGGAUUUGGUAUCCAGGAGGAACAUAUCCGUGACAAAAGCGUAUAUGAACAGGACGGCAAGGCAGAAGUAGAAAUUGAGCUGGAACCAGACACACCAAACGUACAUGGACUUGAAGCAUUUAUUAAAAGCUACGUAGACAGUGGUUCGAAUAUACCAGGACUUCCCGUCUUCGUUCCCCACGUUACCUUAAUUUCGUAUGAAGUGGAGUACC